rnacentral:rRNA from 1 species
ACUCCUACGGGAGGCAGCAGCCGCGGUAAUGCGCGAAAGCGUGACGCAGCGACGCCGCGUGGGGGAUGAAGGCCCUCGGGUUGUAAACCCCUUUCGCCAGGGACGAAGCGGAGGUGACGGUACCUGGAGAAGAAGUCCCGGCUAACUACGUGCCAGCAGCCGCGGUAAUA